AUGACAGGCGAUGUACACCAUGAAGCCAAAGCCCAAGAAAUCAUUGAGCUUACUGCCCUGCCCACUCCUGGUGAGCACUAUGAACCAGGUUGUCAGCUUCACCGCAAUGCCUUGGAGAGCAUUUUCCACAAGCCAGAGCCCAACAUGAGCCAAAUGCUGAGCAUGAUGAAGCCACUGCCCCAAGACGCUGAAUAUCCAAAGGAGUUCUUUGUUGAAGACCUAGAGUAUCUGCCUCGAACUAUUUAUCAUAUCAUCAGGCGAACUCUGUGGCCUGUCAAAGGACAUUCUCCUGCAGCGAAGCUUGAAGGAGCAAUGAAGACAUUGGUUUUCUAUAUCUUCAAUGGCAUCAGCUUCAAUGCUCCAGACUUCUUCAUCGGGCAAUUUGCUACAUCUGGCUCCGAUAUAUUUGGUAUGAAGUUCUAUGAUCCAUGGGUAAUGCGCCUCAUCAAGCUUCACUCUGCUAUCAACUAUCAGCCUUCUGCGCAAUCAUCUCAUAUUCUUGCCAGAGGUUGA
rnacentral:rRNA from 1 species